GCGUCGCACUGCCGUCGCGGCGCCCCCGCCCCUGCGCUCCCAUUGGGCCGCGCCGGCAACGUCACGGAGCGGGAGCCGGCGAUUGGGAGAACUCGCUGCCAAUCGCUGGAACGAGGAGGCGGGCCUUACCGAUCACCGCCCUCCCCUCAGUCAGAUUGACCGUCUCGGCAAGGAAUAGCGUCCUCCUCCGCGGCGCAGGGAUAUUUGAGGGCAAGGAGAGAAAAAACUGCUGCCACUGUGGCCUUCAGGGUCUCUCCCUCCUCACCCAGAGAAUGCCUGUGCCAGAUAAGGAGAAAAAAGAGGACUUGGGAUGACAUGUUCAAUGAGAUCCUGAAAGCCAAUGUUGCAUCGGACAGUGCGCACAGGGCCUGGAGGAUGAACGUUGAGGGCAGACUGGAGAAGGAAAGAGUGGAGAGGAGAAAGGCCGAGUCCCAGCAGGAAAAGGAGAGGGAGAUGCACCAGGACGUAAUGGGUCUUGUCAGGCAGAAAACACAGAUGUUGCAGGUUCUGGUGGACCUGCAAGUUCAACACUCCUUGGCUCACCUCCCUCUGCAGCCCACUGAGAACUCAAUAUUGGGACCUACCUAUACCCCCCUCAACGUUCUACAUGGCAUCAGGGGUCACUGCACUAUCCCUACCACUCCACCCUGGGGGACGUUAAAGACAAUCACAGCUUCACAUACACUGACCUAUGAAAGCCACAGUUGGUGUAUGUGUAGUUGAAAUGGACAUGACCAUUGGUCCCAGACAGUCUUUUACUUUCUGUGUGCGCACAUACAGGUGAUGGAGAUGGUCAGUGAAGCUUUCCUGGAUGUCCUCAAGAUACACCCUGCGUAUCUGCUGCUGUAGACCUUGCUGCACAAGCUCUAUUAAGUACUUAAAAGAUUCCUGAGUCACUGAGGAGAACAAUGAGAAUUGUCUAAAAUUGAUAUAGACCUUGUCCCUUCACAAAUAUAGUCUUCUUAUGCUCCAGUACAAAUGUUAUAUGAACUGGCAGAUUCUCACCAGCCCCCUGGGGUUCAGCAGACAGUCAUUAAUGCACUAAUUCUAAUAAAAGGGGGGAAGCAGUAUGAAAUUUAUCAUCUACAUCCCAGGCUCUAGUCCUCUUAUCUUAUUUCUCAUCAAGACCACAGUUUCCUGGGGAGGUGGUCCCCAGCCUGUGCCCUUCUCUCCCCAAACCCAGAACCUUUCCCCCAGCUGGUAUUUGUCUCUUCUCCUGCCCCUUUCUGCAGCUGUUUUGUUUCCUAGGUACUGCUUGGGCCUCCCAGAGUGCACCUUCAUUCGCUCCUUCCUUGGAAUGAGAUGGGUCUGGGUUAUAUAGGCCCAGACCCGUCCCACUCCCAGCCUCUGAGCAGACUGCUUAACUGGAGUUAGGUGCUUGUUUUUUUUCAGAUGCUUGAUGAUUACCUGUUCUGUCCAUUCCCUCUGAAGCACCUGGCACUGGCUACUGUCGGAAGACAGGAUUUGGUCCAACCCAGUAUGGCUGUUCUUAUGUACUUUCCCCCUCGCUCCCCCUCCAUGUGAAGAGUUCACUCUGUCAUAUGUUAACUUUGUUGAUUUUAUUGAUUUCUUCAAAUUUCUAAAAUACAACUAAUUAAAUCAUCAUCUUACUAACUAACAGAAGGUUAGUUCCAUGCUGUCAUUGUCAGUGGCAUGGAAUUAUUUUGGACUGUUUGGUAACUAGAGAAGGGUACUGGCCGGCUUUUCAGAAAGGUACAAAUAUUGGCCCAGAUUCUCAGCUGGGGAAGUUCCCCUGAAGACCAUGGAGCAACAGAUACAUACAAGCUGAGAAUGUUGUGUCUCAGGAAUGAAUGGUUCGGUAGCAGCAGCUGCUUCUUUUCUGCGAACUUUGUUUUUCAGUGAGAUAAAGUGCAAGGUGCCUCUUGUCCUUGGUAUGCUAAACUGUCUGAACUAGAGCUUCAGUGUCUGGGCUCUGAAGUGAGAUCAUUUAUUUUAAAAGCCUUUGCACAAAGAGAAGCGAUUUAUAUCUGAAAUUGACCAACGGUAGAGAGCACUUCUUCCUACAGUAUUGUCCUCUCCAGCCAGGCUUCUAGUGCGCCAAGAAAGUCUUCUAAUCAUCUAGAGUUCAAUCUCCCUUUACCAACCCUCAAAGAACUGACAAGAUCUCAGAAGGGAAGACGAUACCAGCCCUCUGAUGCAAACCGUGCAUCAAAAAUUCUAUUUCUAUCUGAACAGUAUCAGGGGACAUUUUACAUAAAGUCAGUUUCCAGAAGAGAGUAUGAGAAUAAAGAAUUGAUUAAUGGGUA